rnacentral:rRNA from 2 species
GCUCAGAGUAUAAGCCAAUGGAGCUUGGAAGGCUUCCGCAGAUGGUGUCCAUCAUACGUGGUGUUCUUAAGACCUUGAGUGUGGCUCGUCAGGCGAAGCAUUUUGGUAUGCCGACCAGCCGUCGUGCGGGGGUUCGGUUUGGAGGUCUCAGGCUUCGGCCGAAGGGCUUCCGGCUGUCCCCUUUGGAAUGGACGUUCAGAGCUCUUGUGUCUAAUGCGGUUAUGCCCACCACAGCACGUUGUGAGGUCACCCACAGGCUCAAACUGCCGAUCGCGCAUCCAGGACGAUGGCAACGAUGCGUUGUCGAUGAUGGCUCUCUCUCGAGAGAGACUUGACUCACACGCGUGUCUAGUCCUGGGUCGGGCGGCGACCGAGAUAAACCUGGUACGAUCCUCUUGCGACGAGCUGCUUUCUGGCCAGACCGACGCCCAGGCGCUUCCACUGUGCCGGAAGCGUCUAUCCCAGGCGGUGUGAACCCAGCUGCAUUAUGCAAGGUCUCUCAGCCGGGCGUUGGUCUGAGUGGUGUUAAGUCCAGCACCAUCGGUCACGUCUCGAAACACGGGCCAAGGAGUAUAGCAUGUGUGCAAGUCUAAGGGUCUCACAAAACCCGAAGGCGAAGUGAAAGCAAGACUGUGGCGGGGGAGCUACGGCAAACCCGCCGGCCUAGUGGCGCGUGCGUCGCCUGGCUUUUAGCAGAGCUGAUCCUGUUUUCUCGGUUAAUUCUUGGUGCAGGCGCAAGCUCCGGGCUCACGUACAACACUGGUCACGCCUUGCG